GACGAACGCUGGCGGCGUGCUUAACACAUGCAAGUCGAACGGAAAGGCCCCUUUGGGGGUACUCGAGUGGCGAACGGGUGAGUAACACGUGAGUAACCUGCCCUUGACUACGGGAUAACUUCAGGAAACUGGGGCUAAUACCGGAUAGGAAUCCUUGCUGCAUGGUGGGGGUUGGAAAGCUUCGGCGGUUAUGGAUGGACUCGCGGCUUAUCAGCUUGUUGGUGGGGUAGUGGCUUACCAAGGCUUUGACGGGUAGCCGGCCUGAGUGGGCGACCGGCCACAUUGGGACUGAGGUACGGCCCAGACUCCUACGGGAGGCAGCAGUGGGGAAUAUUGCACAAUGGGCGGAAGCCUGAUGCAGCAACGCCGCGUGCGGGAUGACGGCCUUCGGGUUGUAAACCGCUUUCAGCAGGGGCGAAGCUUGUGGUGACGGUACCUGCAGAAGAAGCACCGGCUAACUACGUG
rnacentral:rRNA from 1 species